UCAAAAACAUCGCUGGGAAAAUUUUCCAGUCGAAUCUGCCCGGUGAAAAUUUAACGGCCGCAGUAUCUUAACUGUGCUAAGGUAGCGUAAUCAUUAGCUUUUUAAUUGAAAGCUCGUAUGAACGAUCCGACGAAAAUCUACCUGUCUCAAGACCGCUAAUAACUUCUUACGAGAGUUAAAAACCUCUCACCUUUCAAGAGGACGACAAGACCCUGCAAAACUUCACCCGUUACGGACCUAACCUAGACAUUUCUUACCCUUUCUCGGGUUUUGCUGGGGCGGCAAUAGUUUUCUUAAACACCUAACGCUAGAACAUCAUGC
rnacentral:rRNA from 1 species